rnacentral:rRNA from 1 species
AUUCCAGCUCCAAUAGCGUAUAUUAAAGUUGUUGCAGUUAAAAAGCUCGUAGUUGGAUUUCUGGUGGGGCUGUCGGCCUGGCUCCGAAAGGGGUCGUGGUUAGUACACGCCUGGCCAUCCUCGGGGGAAGCUUUGCUGGCAUUAAGUUGUCGGCGGAGUGACGCUCGUCGUUUACUGUGAACAAAUUAGAGUGUUCAAAGCAGGCUUAGGCCGUUGAAUACAUUAGCAUGGAAUAAUGAGAUAGGACUUUGGUGGUCUAUUUUGUUGGUUUGCACGCCGAAGUAAUGAUUAAUAGGGGCGGUUGGGGGUAUUCGUAUUCAAUUGUCAGAGGUGAAAUUCUUGGAUUUACGGAAGACGAACUACUGCGAAAGCAUUUACCAAGGAUGUUUUCAUCG